rnacentral:lncRNA from 1 species
GGAUCAGUGGGCUCUGAAACCACCUCCUGGACUGACUCGUAACAUUCCUUCCCUCGCUGUCACAGCCACUCCCCUUCGCCUGGGGCCUCAGUGAGCUGCCCCCCCCCCCCUCGGCCUUACAUGUGGCAGUUGUUUUCUCCUUUGCAGGUGCAGCCGGAUGUGUGGCAACGUUACUUCAUGAUGCAGCCAUGAAUCCAGCUGAAGGUAGAUUCUUUAGCCGUCCUGAGUCGCUGUCCUCCUACCUGGUUCUGUUUCUGCCCUGCAAAAAAACCAGAGCACAGUUUUUGCGGCGAUCCUCUUGUUUAUCUAUACCACUAGAUGGCGCUCCCUCUGUAUGUUCAGUACGUGCCUUCUCUCAUGCUGAGGCAGCAGUCUGGGAUUUAAUUCAUCUUCAAGGCUUUCUUGGAAAAAGUGAUGGCUCCAUGGCUUGGUCCUGGGCUUUCCUCAAAGUCCUCUCUGUAGUAUGUUUGAUCUCUGGCGUGUAUCAGAUUAUUUUAUGUUUCUUCAAAGAACAUACGUUUUAACAUUAAACUAUAAAUUGUUGCACUUACUGGAAUGUAGACAAAAGUGGAAGACUAUAUUGUCUAGUGUAACCUUUUCUUUGUUACUAGGAUAGUAGCUUUUUAGGUGGAAGGAA